rnacentral:rRNA from 1 species
UCCGACGGGGGCUAGCGUUGCUCGGAAUCACUGGGCGUAAAGCGCACGUAGGCGGCUUCUUAAGUCAGGGGUGAAAUCCUGGGGCUCAACCCCAGAACUGCCCUUGAUACUGAGGAGCUUGAGUCCGGGAGAGGUGAGUGGAACUCCGAGUGUAGAGGUGAAAUUCGUAGAUAUUCGGAAGAACACCAGUGGCGAAGGCGGCUCACUGGCCCGGUACUGACGCUGAGGUGCGAAAGCGUGGGGAGAAAACAGG